AGUGAACGCUGGCGGUAGGCCUAACACAUGCAAGUCGAAGGGCAGCACAGAGGAGCUUGCUCCUUGGGUGGCGAGUGGCGGACGGGUGAGGAAUACAUCGGAAUCUACUCUGUCGUGGGGGAUAACGUAGGGAAACUUACGCUAAUACCGCAUACGACCUACGGGUGAAAGCAGGGGACCUUCGGGCCUUGCGCGAUUGAAUGAGCCGAUGUCGGAUUAGCUAGUUGGCGGGGUAAAGGCCCACCAAGGCGACGAUCCGUAACUGGUCUGAGAGGGUGAUCAGCCACACUGGAACUGAGACACGGUCCAGACUCCUACGGGAGGCAGCAGUGGGGAAUAUUGGACAAUGGGCGCAAGCCUGAUCCAGCCAUACCGCGUGGGUGAAGAAGGCCUUCGGGUUGUAAAGCCCUUUUGUUGGGAAAGAAAUCCAGCUGGCUAAUACCCGGUUGGGAUGACGGUACCCAAAGAAUAAGCACCGGCUAACUUCGUGCCAGCCGCCGCAGUAA
rnacentral:rRNA from 1 species